CUGGCAUUGGCAUGGGCGCAGCCUGAUCAGCAUGCCGCGUGUGUGAUGAAGGCCUUCGGGUUGUAAAGCUCUUUUGUCCGGGAAGAAAUCCCUUGGGCUAAUACCCUGGGGGCCUGACGGUACCGGGCCAGUAACCCCCGGCUUACUACGUGCCACCAGCCGCGAUAAUA
rnacentral:rRNA from 1 species